rnacentral:rRNA from 1 species
AGAGUUUGAUCAUGGCUCAGGAUGAACGCUAGCUACAGGCUUAACACAUGCAAGUCGAGGGGAAACGACAUCGAAAGCUUGCUUUUGAUGGGCGUCGACCGGCGCACGGGUGAGUAACGCGUAUCCAACCUGCCCACCACUUGGGGAUAACCUUGCGAAAGUAAGACUAAUACCCAAUGACGUCUCUAGAAGACAUCUGAAAGAGAUUAAAGAUUUAUCGGUGAUGGAUGGGGAUGCGUCUGAUUAGCUUGUUGGCGGGGUAACGCCACAAGGCGACGAUCAGUAGGGGUUCUGAGAGGAAGGUCCCCCANAUUGGAACUGGAGACACGGUCCAAAACUCCUACGGGAGGC